AGGGCGGACGUAGCCAAGUGGAUUAAGGCAGU
rnacentral:tRNA from 23 species